UACGAAGGGGGCUAGCGUUGCUCGGAAUCACUGGGCGUAAAGGGUGCGUAGGCGGGUCUUUAAGUCAGGGGUGAAAUCCUGGAGCUCAACUCCAGAACUGCCUUUGAUACUGAAGAUCUUGAGUUCGGGAGAGGUGAGUGGAACUGCGAGUGUAGAGGUGGAAUUCGUAGAUAUUCGCAAGAACACCAGUGGCGAAGGCGGCUCACUGGCCCGUAACUGACGCUGAGGCACGAAAGCGUGGGGAGCAAACAGG
rnacentral:rRNA from 1 species